UUGAAGAGUUAUGAUUGGCUGAUGAUGCAGGUGGGAUGGCAGAAGCAAGGACAGUACAAUAUAUGGAAUGUUGUUGGACAGCAUUCUCGGAAACAGAUCGGUAACAAGCCACAGUAGCUGAAAUCAGGAUAUUAAAAAAAACACGACUUCUACGGGGAAUCACAUAACCUACCGCCUGCGAUUAACACAUAUGCGUAAAUUCAGGACGUCAACGUAAGAACAAUCGCGUAUUAUUUCCUUGUGAAUCUGUCACGACUUCUUUCCUGCUACUAAACCAUUGGCUAGUUCUCCCCUCCUCCAUUAAGUAGUUCUGGUGGAAAGAUGUAUAUAUACUGGAAGGGCUAUUUACCUAUCAGUUUGUAACUGUCAAGUCCAUUGUCAAGAUCAACUGACAAGAGCAGAAUUACCAUGGCCAAAUAUUCGGUGCUGUUGGUGAUUCUCGUAUCAGCUCUCUGCUAUGUUAUGGCCAACCCACUGCCUGAUCCGGACCAUUAUCACAAUCCUAACGACGGUCAUGGCCAUCCUGUUCCUAAAGGACGCCGUUAAACUUACGUCUUUAGCCACAUUCAUCAGUGUAACAGAGAAUAUUUGAAUAAUGAAUCUAAGACUAUGAAAUUAUAUGUUAAUAUCAGUAUACGUCUAGACGUUUAUAUAAGUCACUGUCUGGAGGAUAUUUGCAUACACAAUAUUAUACUAUGUACUACAGAUUUUCCAAUGUUAGUUUAACGUUAAUAUCUUAUCAAGUGACUCUGCUCUGAUCUGAGUCAGUAUUUUUCUUAUACAGAAUUUUUCAGACUGAAAAAUGCAAGGUCUAACAGGUUUCAAUAGUUUUGGUUCCGAUGUGCUUCUGUUACAUUCAUUCCAUCAAUUCAAAGAGCGUGGAAAGCAUUUCAAAGGAUUCAUAUUUCUCCUUCAUCAAGGUUUAAGUCACCGUGACUAAGGAUUUGCUUCACAUAGCAAAGUCCAUUCUGCUGGAACAGGAAAACUCUUGAAAUUCGCUAUCAUAAGACACGUCACACAACUGUCUGUAAUCAGAUCCUCACUAACUCCUUGAUCAGGAAUUGCUGUGUUUUUGCUGAGGAAUAUAAUAAUAUAUAAAAUAAUAUAUAAUAUAAGUCUGAUUCUGUUUAAAAAGUAUAUUAUUUUUUUGUAUAUUAUAGUAUUUUCUAAAGUAAAUAUUAAGGAUACGAAAUAACUAUUUUGAAGAGUUAUAUUUUCUGGGAUAUAACGCCGUGUAUUCCGUUAAAAGUCAACGUACGUUUCGGAGGAACAUUUCUCCUCCAUUUUCAGAGCUGUAGAAGAAGCCAGGCAAGAAACCAGCGUGAAGCCGGCAUCAUGCAAAAGCAAAGCCUUGCAUAUAUAUUUUUCAAGGACUAUCAGUGUUUCGUUGUUGAAUUUCUUAGUGAAAUCAAUUUAAUUGUAAACCCAGUAUCAUAUUUAAUGUUAAUGUAAGCAAUGAAUAAUAAAGCACAAUUAUGUUAAAUAUA